UGCUCAUUGUGUCAUCAGACAUUUUCAAAAUUGUUAUUGUUAUCAAAAAAUGAACUUUUCGCCGACAACUGCCGUCAAACGAUACAACAAAAUACACACUACACUACAUUUUGCUACGAGUAACAACUAACGCGGCCAGAGCCAGGCGCUGCCAUGAAAAAAGUGAAAAGAAGAAACAACCAAGGGUAGCGCAAACAACCCACGCAGCAACAACAGCAACAAUAACAAUAAUGGCAUAGUACAAGUAUACAAUAAGCAUUUGAAUGCAGCAACGACUGGAGCGCAACAACAAUCACCCCGGAUAUCAGCACACACACACCACUCAUACUUGUAUAUAUGUAUAUAUAAUAUAUAUAUCAGAGCAUUAAACCACCACCUCCGCCGCCAUGCGCCGCGUCCACCCACCGUUGUUGGGCAAAAAACGCGCUUGCCACCCUCAAAAAUUGUGAACGUCGUGGCAAAAAAAAAAAAA